UUGAUAACAUGUUGAGAAUGUUUAGAAAGAUAUAAGAGUAAUAGUAAGUAAUACACACACACAAGAGUAGUAGUAAGUCAUACAUACAAGAGGGUUUCUAAGAAAAGAGAGCUUCACACAUAAAAAUCUAUUGAUCUGGUUGUGUCUCGUAUACAAGAAGAGAAAGGGGAGAGGAUAAACAGUACUUCUCCACUAGACUCUAAAUAUUGUAGCUAUAGUAUUUAUUGUAGUCUAUAAUAAAUAUUAUGGAGAGUGCCGGCUACAUUUAAUGAUCUCAACUUAAGAAAGGGCAUUUCUACCUUUGCUCUCCCCUCUCUUCUUUCUGUGCU
rnacentral:lncRNA from 1 species